rnacentral:tRNA from 1 species
GCUGAAAGUAUUGGAAAAUCAAGGUUAAUGUCACCUUCCCAAGGUGAACGUCGUGGGUUCGAGUCCCAUCUCCCGCU